rnacentral:rRNA from 1 species
CAGUAGCGCGGUAAAACAGAGGGUGCGAGCGUUAAUCGGAUUUACUGGGCGUAAAGCGUGCGUAGGCGGCUUUUUAAGUCGGAUGUGAAAUCCCUGAGCUUAACUUAGGAAUUGCAUUCGAUACUGGGAAGCUAGAGUAUGGGAGAGGAUGGUAGAAUUCCAGGUGUAGCGGUGAAAUGCGUAGAGAUCUGGAGGAAUACCGAUGGCGAAGGCAGCCAUCUGGCCUAAUACUGACGCUGAGGUACGAAAGCAUGGGGAGCAAACAGGAUUAGAUACCCCAGUAGUCCCUGUCUCUUAUACA